GACACAUCUUCGGGCAUUUCAGAAUGCACAAAAACAGUAAAUAGGUAGCAAUGAAAAACUUAAGACUCAUACCGCAAGCUGCCACUCUACUUAGUUUUUGUUGUCUCUCUUAUUCAUUUCCCCUCUUUAAUCUCCCCUCUGUCACAAUGACAGAGUGGGCGUGUGUGACAGUGCUGUGAUGUCCAGCCCCCCAUUGUAUUGAAUCAAGACGUGCUACUUACACAGGAAGUGGUGAAGACACAAAUAAUACAGGCCCAGGUGUGAUGGCUGCCAUGGUGGUCAAAGCGGCACUGUCAGAUGGAUAGCACAAAGCACAGAUCUGUUCGACUAUAUUCUCAUAACCCAUCAUGCCAUUUUGGACCCGUUCAUGAGCAGGAUUAAUUUUCACAUUUCAAGUAUCUCAUUAAACACGAUUUUCAGGCCCAUGUUGGCCGAUCGUGUGCUCUACAAGUCCAAAUUCAGAGUCGCACACCUUGAAACAUGCCGGGAAACACCGAGAACUACUGAAAGUGAUGCAGGUACCCAAUUUAGCUCCAGUAAUCGCACAAGGCACUUAUCCCAAAUGUUUCAGAAACCGGAAUUUUGACCUGAACCCGUGUAUUGACUGCAUGUAAACAUGGUCAUAGAUAAUUCUACUUGUGGACAGCAUUGAGUCUGUAUGUAAAUGAGGCAGCCAAAGCAAUGGGGCGCUCUUUCAAAUGCAGGUGCUUUUGUCACAGUGCCACCACUGAAAGUCUUCAAAAUGUUUAUGUGUGUCUGUAGAUAUGUAUUUGAUUUUGCAUGUGUGUAUACGUAUAUUUGUGUGUGUUUAUAACUAUUAUAUGUAUGUGCUCGUGUUUGCGUACAAGCAAGCAAGCAGAGCGUGUGUAUGUGUGUGUGUGUGUGUGUGUUUGGCGAAGAGGGAUACUGAAUAGAAGCAUUUCACACAUUUCCACACAUGUUCUGAAUGCGCACUCAUGAAUGUUUCCGAAAAACAUUAAACACUGUCCAACUGAGGCUUUUGUGCUUCAACGACACAUCUGUGCAGAUGUUUUUGUACACCCCACAACGAAGUCGACGUGCGUGAACGCGACGAUAUGAGCAUGCGCUACCUCCUUUGUCAUCGCUGUCACCAACAAUCCUCGUAAUAUUUAUUAUUUUUUUACUCUGUGCUGUGAAUUAGGUGACACUUAACGACCAGGAUACGCGCUUCAGGAAGGAUGGAUCGUAGAAUCUUUAAAAAGCGGUAGCGAGGAGCGUACGUUUGAAAAGGGUCCGUUCAGUCGGAAAAAUAGCGUGUUAAAAUGAUCUUCGUUUGUCGAUACUAUUGACUUACCUUGGCGUUGCGCUCAAUCUGUCUGUGUUCGUGGGGGAACCGUCGUCCACGCAGCAUCUUGCUGCAUUGUCGCCGGCAAGGGCACACUGCCAUGAUAUCGCCUCCACGCGAGGCAGAUGAGCAGAACAAAACCAUCCACGGAGAGACAAAGUGGGAAUAAAUUACCAUUCAUGAAAAAGGAAAAAAACUUAGAUUGUGACUAGGACUUUCGAAAAGCUAUCCCUAAAGUUCCCUAGUUUAAAAAAAAACUUUUUUUGUUUUGUUUGUGUUUUUCCUCUCUGGUCUAAUUCUGUGCACCGACUGAGUGGAGGGCGCACCGACACACGCAAACGCACCACACCAGCCAUUGACUACGAUUUGGGGGUGACGUCACAAAAUUGUGGGAUGCCGCGGGUGGGUGAAGUCACGUGACACGCCCCCCAACUUUCCACCGUGUAUAUACGUUUAUGUGGGCGAUUUUAAUUUUCUCUCUACUCUUUUAAUUUUUAUUUUUAAUCCUUUUUUAGUCUUGAUUUCACUGUCUCUGUCAAGCAAUGUGGGUUGGCCUGCUGUGGUGAAAUACAAAUAAAGCUGCCUUGCUUUCCUACAGUGCGAUUGUCUUACUACGACUGCUACUGUAUUCAUACUCGUAAUAGAUUUUCCCCUGUUCAAAUAAAGUCAAACUCACUAAUUCAAGUGAAA